UCGGAGUUAGUUUCACAGAGCAGCGCAGGAGGACGACAGACAGACACAUAAAGAACAGUUUGAAUCUCUCUCAGUCAGUCAGGGGGAGAUUAACUGACAGACUGUAUAACGUUACACGCCACCAAACAGUCUAACCAAGAAACCUUUUUAAGUUUAGCACAACUGUUUCCCGUGGAAGUUUGAAUCUCUCUCAGUCAGGGGGGAGAUUGACUGACAGACUGUCUACUUGCCACCAAGCAGUAAUUUACCCUGAAACCUUUUUAAGGUAACGUUAACACAUUUAUUAAUUUAUUUAUUAUGUUGUUUGAGUACACCACAGUUCUGUAAGUGGAAAAAUAAUUCAUAUUUAUGUGUGUUUUCUCUCUUAUGCCUGGCUCACACCACAGGAUAAUC